GUAAGAACGUAGCGAAAUGCGAUAAGUAAUGUGAAUUGCAGAAUUCAGUGAAUCAUCGAAUCUUUGAACGCACAUUGCGCCCAUUAGUAUUCUAGUGGGCAUGCCUGUUCGAGCGUCGUUAAUUCCACUUAAGCCCUGCUUAGUGUUGGGAAUCUACUCUAGUGGUGCUACCCUGGAGCUACCCCUGAAAGGGGGCUGGCCCGGUAGCUACCCUGUAGUUCCUCAAAGAUAGUGCGCGGAGUUGCGUGGUCCUCUGAGCUUAGUAACUAUACACCUAGCUUUUGAGUGUCCCGCGGCGCCUGCCGUUUAAACCCCAUCUUUUAAUGGUUGACCUCGGAUCAGGUAGGAAUACCCGCUGAACUUAAGCAUAUCAAUAAGCGGAGGA
rnacentral:misc_RNA from 1 species